UCCCUAGUAGCUCAGUCAGUAAAGAAUCUGCCUGCAGUGUAGGAGACCCGGGUUCGAACCCCGGGUUGGGAA
rnacentral:tRNA from 1 species